GGGUUGUGAGGUUAAGCGACUAAGCGUACACGGUGGAUGCCCUGGCAGUCAGAGGCGAUGAAGGACGUGCUAAUCUGCGAUAAGCGCCGGUAAGGUGAUAUGAACCGUUAUAACCGGCGAUUUCCGAAUGGGGAAACCCAGUGUGAUUCGUCACACUAUCAUUAACUGAAUCCAUAGGUUAAUGAGGCGAACCGGGGGAACUGAAACAUCUAAGUACCCCGAGGAAAAGAAAUCAACCGAGAUUCCCCCAGUAGCGGCGAGCGAACGGGGAGGAGCCCAGAGCCUGAAUCAGCAUGUGUGUUAGUGGAAGCGUCUGGAAAGGCGCGCGAUACAGGGUGACAGCCCCGUACACAAAAGCGCAUGUGCUGUGAGCUCGAUGAGUAGGGCGGGACACGUGGUAUCCUGUCUGAAUAUGGGGGGACCAUCCUCCAAGGCUAAAUACUCCUGACUGACCGAUAGUGAACCAGUACCGUGAGGGAAAGGCGAAAAGAACCCCGGCGAGGGGAGUGAAAAAGAACCUGAAACCGUGUACGUACAAGCAGUGGGAGCACCCUUCGGGGUGUGACUGCGUACCUUUUGUAUAAUGGGUCAGCGACUUAUAUUCUGUAGCAAGGUUAACCGUAUAGGGGAGCCGGAGGGAAACCGAGUCUUAAU
rnacentral:rRNA from 4 species